rnacentral:ncRNA from 1 species
CCCGCUGGAAUUUAAGCAUAUUAGUCAGCGGAGGAAAAGAAACUAACCAGGAUUCCCUCAGUAACGGCGAGUGAACAGGGAAGAGCCCAGCGCCGAAUCCCCGCCGCGCGGCGCGGCGCGGGAAAUGUGGCGUACGGAAGACCCACUCCCCGGCGCCGCUCGUGGGGGGCCCAAGUCCUUCUGAUCGAGGCCCAGCCCGUGGACGGUGUGAGGCCGGUAGCGGCCCCCGGCGCGCCGGGCCCGGGUCUUCCCGGAGUCGGGUUGCUUGGGAAUGCAGCCCAAAGCGGGUGGUAAACUCCAUCUAAGGCUAAAUACCGGCACGAGACCGAUAGCCAACAAGUACCGUAAGG